rnacentral:rRNA from 1 species
UACGAAGGGGGCUAGCGUUGUUCGGAAUCACUGGGCGUAAAGCGCACGUAGGCGGAUUUUUAAGUCAGGGGUGAAAUCCCGAGGCUCAACCUCGGAACUGCCUUUGAUACUGGGGAUCUCGAGUCCGGGAGAGGUGAGUGGAACUGCGAGUGUAGAGGUGAAAUUCGUAGAUAUUCGCAAGAACACCAGUGGCGAAGGCGGCUCACUGGCCCGGUACUGACGCUGAGGUGCGAAAGCGUGGGGAGCGAACAGG